rnacentral:rRNA from 1 species
AUGUUUGGUACAAAGAAAAAAUUGAAGUAUGCAGUGAUAAAGUGGGCUAUGUCUACUCAGAGGGUUUUCCGGACAGACAGAUCAAACCCAACAAACUAUACCGUGAAGUGUGUUGAAACAGGUUGUCCUGCGAAGGUGCACGGGCACGUGCCGAAGUAUAACAUCCACUGGGUUGUCACGAAUGUGGUCCCACAUAAUUGUGUGAGGAAAAACUUGUUGGUUCGUCAUCCAAACCUGACUUCAACUCUCAUUGCGCAACUCAUGUAUACUGAGAUAGUGGAGAAAAAAGAUAUGGAAGCAAAACACAUCCAGACAGCAGUGAAGGUCAGAUGGAAUUAUGAC